UACAGAGGUCUCAAGCGUUGUUCGGAUUCAUUGGGCGUAAAGGGUGCGUAGGCGGCGCGGUAAGUCGGAUGUGAAAUCUCGGAGCUUAACUUCGAAACUGCAUUCGAUACUGCCGUGCUUGAGGACUGGAGAGGAGACUGGAAUUUACGGUGUAGCGGUGAAAUGCGCAGAUAUCGGGAGGAACACCAGCGGCGAAGGCGGCACUCUGGGCUGGUACUGACGCUGAGGAGCGAAAGCGUGGGUAGCAAACAGG
rnacentral:rRNA from 1 species